rnacentral:misc_RNA from 1 species
AAGUCGUAACAAGGUUUCCGUAGGUGAACCUGCGGAAGGAUCAUUAAUGAAUUUGGGCUUAAAUGCUCCGGGUUUCUGCUCGGUAUCCGUCUGAUUUCAAAAAGACGAAAGACUUUUUUUUUUCAGUCACUUUAAUUUUGACGCUGUUAACUCAGCUGAUAAAGAUUACAAACCAAAUAAAACUUUCAACAACGGAUCUCUUGGCUAGCC